UACGUAGGAUCCAAGCGUUAUCCGGAAUCACUGGCGUAAAGCGUGCGUAGGCGGCGUGUUAAGUGAGAUGCGAAAUCUUGUGGCUCAACCAUAUAGACUGUGUCUCAUACUGGCAUGCUAGAGAAUGGCAGAGGCAAGUGGAAUUACCGGUGUAGCAGUGAAAUGCGUAGAGAUCGGUAGGAACACCAAUGGCGAAGGCAGCUUGCUGGGCCAUUUCUGACGCUAAGGCACGAAAGCGUGGGGAGCGAACAGGA
rnacentral:rRNA from 1 species